AUACGGAGGGUGCGAGCGUUAAUCGGAAUUACUGGGCGUAAGGCGCACGUAGGCGGCGAGGUCAGUCGGAUGUGAAAGCCCUGGGCUUAACCUGGGAACUGCAUUCGAUACUGCCUGGCUAGAGUAUGGUAGAGGGAAGCGGAAUUCCGGGUGUAGCGGUGAAAUGCGUAGAUAUCCGGAGGAACACCAGUGGCGAAGGCGGCUUCCUGGACCAAUACUGACGCUGAGGUGCGAAAGCGUGGGGAGCAAACAGGAUUAGAUACCCCAGUAGUCC
rnacentral:rRNA from 1 species